rnacentral:rRNA from 1 species
AGAGUUUGAUCAUGGCUCAGAACGAACGCUGGCGGCAGGCCUAACACAUGCAAGUCGAACGCCUCAGCAAUGAGGAGUGGCAGACGGGUGAGUAACGCGUGGGAACCUUCCCAGUGGUACGGAACAACUGACCGAAAGGUUAGCUAAUACCGUAUACGCCCGAAAGGGGAAAGAUUUAUCGCCAUUGGAUGGGCCCGCGUCGGAUUAGCUUGUUGGUGAGGUAAUGGCUCACCAAGGCGACGAUCCGUAGCUGGUCUGAGAGGAUGAUCAGCCACACUGGGACUGAGACACGGCCCAGACUCCUACGGGAGGCAGCAGUGGGGAAUAUUGGACAAUGGGCGCAAGCCUGAUCCAGCCAUGCCGCGUGAGUGAUGAAGGUCUUCGGAUUGUAAAACUCUUUCGCCGGGGAAGAUAAUGACGGUACCCGAGAAGAAG